AUUGAACGCUGGCGGCAGGCUUAACACAUGCAAGUCGAACGAGUGGCGGACGGGUGAGUAAUGCCUGGGAAUCUAGCUUAUGGAGGGGGAUAACUACGGGAAACUGUAGCUAAUACCGCGUACCAUAGGAUGAGCCCAAGUGGGAUUAGCUAGUUGGUGGGGUAAAGGCUCACCAAGCCGACGAUCUCUAGCUGGUCUGAGAGGAUGACCAGCCACACUGGAACUGAGACACGGCCCAGACUCCUACGGGAGGCAGCAGUGGGGAAUAUUGCGCAAUGGGCGCAAGCCUGACGCAGCCAUGCCGCGUGUGUGAAGAAGGCCUUCGGGUUGUAAAGCACUUUCAGUGGGGAGGCGUUACCCGCAGAAGAAGCACCGGCUAACUCCGUGCCAGCAGCCGCGGUAAUAC
rnacentral:rRNA from 1 species